AAUAGUAUUUUGGUAGACAAAUAAAAAAUAUCUUGAUUUAAAUUAUACUUUUUUAUAACUUUUUACAAUAACUCUUUAUGUUCAGAUACAAGCCCUUCACAAGUGGUUUCUCUUGCGGUGUCCAACCCAACACGAAUGCCGCAGUGUAAAACAAAUUCCGAUUCCCAAACGGCGAAAGAUUGAAACAGAACAGCCGCAACUGAAGUGGUAACAGAGGCACUGCCGCAUAGCCUUUCAUUUACCGUGGCAACAUGCAACACCGGACAUUGAAGAUGACGACCACAAGAGAAAGGUAAACAAGGCACAUAUGGUGGGCCACUAAAGUCAAAGGCGAUGUUGGCAGCAAGGCUUACCGGAUUGCAACUCACGAUUUGGAUAAAAGGUUCUGAAGUUGAAAUAAAAGAAAACGAAACUACAACCACCACUAACACCGCUCCACAUAGAACAAAAACAACAGUUACGGUAACGUUACGAAAUAUCAGUGGCAGCUGCAGCCUUUCGUGGCAUUUGUGGCUGCCUUAAGCAAUAUUCCCACUGCCCUUUUAGCACCAUCACCAGCAGUUCAGAGUGAACCCUCAACCCGACAGGGCGACAUGUGGCGUGAGUUUCGGAGCGCCAAAUGAGGAGUAUGAACAUGAUGUGUGGCGUGUGGCGUGUGGCGUGUGGCAUACGGCAGUCAGUGCAAUUUUACAUCGCUUACAGUUACACGUGUGAUUAUUUUAUGAGAUUUAUCUGCAGAAAUGGCCACAACGAUUCAACGAGGUAGUAGCGUGUCAUAGCCGACGCUGCCUAUGUGGUUUGCCACAAUGCGUGGAUGGAUUCUCCAUUUUUCUUUUGCGGUUUCGUUAGUGUAAUGCAAUGGUCUGUCGGCCUGAGUAUUAUAGCUGAGGCAUCUGCAUUCCCCAGCCAUUGUCCUUCUGAAUUUUGUGGCCACAAAGGCUCAAAGCCGCGCAUAGAACAGGCAAGUUGCCGUUGCAGCACGUUGAGUUAUCGUUACGUAAAAAUUCCAAACGAGCUGUUGAAGAGACGCACUGAUGCAUGUGCUAUGCACCAUAAGGCACGUCGCUCGUGGCAAGCGUUUAAAAAAUGCAUUCCACAAACAAUAAGGUCAAGCAUACGUAGCGUGUCCAAGGUGCUUAUCGUCAACAAUUGCCUUACAAUUCACAAUGGCGCGCAUCUGACGACUACAACAACAAUAAGAAGGUAUAACAAACAUACAAAACAAAGCUUCGAUAUUCAACGCGCUUCAAUUCGUGUUAAAUGGCACACAUGCUCGAAUGUGAGCGAGGUUGUUGGUGUGUGUCCUUGCAGCUCUGUUUCGUUACAGGUCACACAGGAACGCACUUAAGGUGCCAGGCGAUAACAUACAAGUGUGCUGCAGCUUAAUGGACAUUUACUACAGUCAACCACUAAAUUGUUCAAUUACAUUUUAAGUAGGUUUGCCGGCGUUAGCACGACAUAAUAAAUUCAAAACACAAUCUAAAUGGUACCGUCUAAAUAUGUACAGGGUGUAUAAAUAGAGUUCUUCAAACCUCUUUCAUGCAUUUGUGGACACACAAAGUCAUUCCCCACACGUUUAACUCCUGAGAUCUGCGAUGAUACGACCCAUUUGGAUUAUCGGCAACACUCUCUCGGAGCGUUUCGGACGCGGUCGAAUAGGACGCUGGCGAGUUGUUACAGAGCCAUACUCGAAGAAGUUUUUCAUCAAACUACGUAUUGUGCUGCCUAAAGGUAUUGAAUGUCUCCCAGCCCUUACUGUUUUCACAGCUGAACGGGUGUUUUAAAUGUAAAGCGUCUCGAAGUCAAAGCGUUCUUUCGGUGGCGUUUCAGAAUCAUGCACACUUUUCCGAAUCGGCAGAAAGCCAACAGAUUUAUUCAAUGUUAAAAUACCGAAGGUCUAGAUAGCGUAGUGGUCUGACUAAUGUAUACUGAUUUGUAACGUAUUUGAAAAAUAGUUCUCAAGACGGGAAACUCUUUCCAGAAGACUUUCAACCGAUUUCAAAAUUUUGUAUAAUGAAAUGUUUCCUAAAAUAUAAAAU